GAGAGCCGUGUGAUGGGUGACUAUCCAGCACGGUUCGGAGAGCACUUUUAGUCUGCGCUGGUGAAUGGAAGCCCCCCCUAUCAAGCAAGAAAGAAGCGGCUCUUCCGAGUCACCAUUGACUCUAU
rnacentral:ncRNA from 1 species